rnacentral:rRNA from 1 species
CGCAGCUAACGCAUUAAGUGCCCCGCCUGGGGAGUACGAUCGCAAGAUUAAAACUCAAAGAAUCGAACGGGGCACCGCACAAGCAGCGGAGCAUGCGGCUUAAUUCGACGCAACGCGAAGAACCUUACCAAGGCUUGACAUAUACAGGAAUAUGGCAGAGAUGUCAUAGCCGCAAGGUCUGUAUACAGGUGGUGCAUGGUUGUCGUCAGCUCGUGUCGUGAGAUGUUGGGUUAAGUCCCGCAACGAGCGCAACCCUCGUUCUGUGUUGCCAGCAUUUAGUUGGGGACUCACAGGAGACUGCCGGGGUUAACUCGGAGGAAGGUGGGGAUGACGUCAAAUCAUCAUGCCCCUUAUGUCUUGGGCUGCACGCAUGCUACAAUGGCUGGUACAAACGGCUGCGAUACCGCAAGGUGGAGCGAAUCCGAUAAAGCCAGUCUCAGUUCGGAUUGGGGUCCGCAACUCGACCCCAUGAAGUCGGAGUUGCUAGUAAUCGUAGAUCAGCAACGCUACGGUGAAUACGUUCCCGGGGCUUGUACACACCGCCCGUCACGUCACGAAAGUCGGUAACACCCGAAGUCAGUGGCCCAACC